rnacentral:rRNA from 1 species
GAUGAACGCUGACAGAAUGCUUAACACAUGCAAGUCAUUGGCGAAGCUGCGCUUGCGCAGUCUAGCCAAGGCGGACGGGUGAGUAACGCGUAAGGAACUUGCCCUGCAGACAGGGAUAACAGACGGAAACGACUGAUAACACCUGGUAUUGUCAGGCUGGCGCAUGCCGGCCUGAUGAAAGGAGACGCUGCAGGAGAGCCUUGCGUCCUAUUAGCUAGUUGGUGGGGUAACGGCCCACCAAGGCGAUGAUAGGUAGCCGGCCUGAGAGGGUGAACGGCCACAAGGGGACUGAGAUACGGCCCUUACUCCUACGGGAGGCAGCAGUGGGGAAUAUUGGACAAUGGGGGCAACCCUGAUCCAGCAAUUCUGUGUGCACGAAGAGGGUUUUCGGAUUGUAAAGUGCUUUCAGCAGGGAAGAAGAAAGUGACGGUACCUGCAGAAGAAGCGACGGCUAAAUACGUG